AUGGAUGACGACGGUGAUCUCGUUCUCAAUCGGAGAAUGAAGAGACACUGGAGAAGGGACGAGGAUCAUGUCCUCACCGUGCAGCAUGGCGUCACCUCUUCGCUCCGGAGCGUCGGUCUUCUUGCGGGAGAGCAUUCAGUGUCGGAUUUCCUACUAUGUUUGGAAGGCAGCCAUGCUGCUAACCUGACUUUGUGUUGCACAAGAGCUUCACGUCGUCUGAAUGCGACGGUCAAAAUGUUGUGUCCGAGAAGUUCAAUGACAAAUAAGCAACAAGUUCAUGUUUGUCAACCAUUGAAGUUCAUGUAUAUGGUAGUUGAUGAUUGUUGUGUGCACUUAGGGGAGCACAAAAAAAUGCGGCUGGCCAAGGUCCGUGGAUGUUGA
rnacentral:rRNA from 1 species